rnacentral:rRNA from 1 species
UACGUAGGGCGCAAGCGUUGUCCGGAAUUAUUGGGCGUAAAGAGCUCGUAGGCGGCUUGUCACGUCGGGUGUGAAAGCCCGGGGCUUAACCCCGGGUCUGCAUUCGAUACGGGCUGGCUAGAGUGUGGUAGGGGAGAUCGGAAUUCCUGGUGUAGCGGUGAAAUGCGCAGAUAUCAGGAGGAACACCGACGGCGAAGGCAGCUUACUGGGCCGAUACUGACGCUGAGGAGCGAAAGCGUGGGGAGCGAACAGG